UACGAGGGGGGCAAGCGUUGUUCGGAAUUAUUGGGCGUAAAGGGCGCGUAGGCGGUGCGGUAAGUCUGAUGUGAAAUCUCCGGGCUCAACUCGGAGUCUGCAUCAGAAACUGCCGUGCUCGAGUGUGGGAGAGGUGAGUGGAAUUCCCGGUGUAGCGGUGAAAUGCGUAGAUAUCAGGAGGAACACCAAUGGCGAAGGCAGCUCGCUGGGACGGUACUGACGCUGAGACGCGAAAGCGUGGGGAGCAAACAGG
rnacentral:rRNA from 1 species